rnacentral:rRNA from 1 species
UACGGAGGGUGCAAGCGUUAUCCGGAUUCACUGGGUUUAAAGGGUGCGUAGGCGGGUAUGUAAGUCAGCGGUGAAAUCCCCGAGCUUAACUUGGGAACUGCCGUUGAUACUAUAUAUCUUGAAUGUCGUGGAGGUUAGCGGAAUAUGUUAUGUAGCGGUGAAAUGCUUAGAUAUGACAUAGAACACCCAUUGCGAAGGCAGCUAACUACGCGAAUAUUGACGCUGAGGCACGAAAGCGUGGGGAUCAAACAGG